CACUGGAAUGUGUACCUGCUGUAAAUAUGGACAAAUAAUAAUUGUAGGCUUUAGGUGGGCAUCCUUUGAGUCUUGGAUUGCCCAUAAAGGACCUGCAGAAAUUU
rnacentral:snoRNA from 1 species